CUUUUUUUAACCGACUUCCAAAAAAGGAGGAGGUUCUCAAUUCGACUGUAUUUUUUUUUUUUUUUUAUGUAUGUUACAUCAGAACUUUUGACCGGGUGGACCGAUUUCGACAAAUUUUGUUUUAAUCGAAAGGUGAUGUGUGCCAAUUGGUCCCAUUUAAAUUUAUUUGAGAUCUAACAACUACUUUUCGAGUUAUAUCUAAUAAUGCGUUUUUACUUGACGCUUUUUUCGUCGACCUACGUUGUAUUAUACCGCAUAACUUUCUACUGGAUGUACCGAUUUUGAUAAUUCUUUUUUUGUUGGAAAGGGGAUAACCCUAGUUUGGUACCAUGCUAAGGAAACCAGGAUCUGAUGAUAGAAUCCCAGAGAAAUCGAGGGAAACUCUUGAAAAUCCGCAAUAACUUUUUACUGGGUGUACCGAUUUUGAUAA
rnacentral:misc_RNA from 1 species